AUUGAACGCUGGCGGCAUGCCUUACACAUGCAAGUCGAACGGUAACGGGCCUUCGGGUGCCGACGAGUGGCGAACGGGUGAGUAAUGCAUCGGAACGUACCUUUCAGUGGGGGAUAACGUAGCGAAAGUUACGCUAAUACCGCAUAUUCUGUGAGCAGGAAAGCAGGGGAUCGCAAGACCUUGCGCUGAUUGGGCGGCCGAUGUCAGAUUAGCUAGUUGGUGAGGUAAAGGCUCACCAAGGCGACGAUCUGUGGGGGGUCUGAGAGGAUGAUCCGCCACAAUGGAACUGAGACACGGUCCAGACUCCUACGGGAGGCAGCAGUGGGGAAUUUUGGACAAUGGGGGCAACCCUGAUCCAGCCAUGCCACGUGAGUGCAGAAGGCCUUCGGGUUGUAAAGCUCUUUCGGUCGGGAAGAAAUCGCAUGGGUUAAUACCCUGUGCGGAUGACGGUACCGGCAUAAGAAGCACCGGCUAACUACGUGCCAGCAGCCGCAGUAAAAC
rnacentral:rRNA from 1 species